UACGGAAGGGGCAAGCGUUGUUCGGAAUCAUUGGGCGUAAAGGGUGCGUAGGCGGCGCGGUAAGUCGGGUGUGAAAUCUCGGAGCUUAACUCCGAAACUGCAUUCGAUACUGCCGUGCUUGAGGACUGGAGAGGAGACUGGAAUUUACGGUGUAGCGGUGAAAUGCGUAGAUAUCGUAAGGAAGACCAGUGGCGAAGGCGGGUCUCUGGACAGUUCCUGACGCUGAGGCACGAAGGCCAGGGGAGCAAACGGG
rnacentral:rRNA from 1 species